rnacentral:rRNA from 1 species
AAGGUUAUAUGAUCAAGUAAAGGAAGAGCACAAGGUGAAUGCCUUGGCUGCAUAAGGCGAUGAAGGACGUAAUAACCUGCGAUAAGCCUCGGGGAGCUGGUAAUAAGCUUCGAUCCGAGGAUU